rnacentral:rRNA from 1 species
UACAGAGGUCUCAAGCGUUGUUCGGAUUCAUUGGGCGUAAAGGGUGCGUAGGUGGCUGGGUAAGUCAGGUGUGAAAUCUCGGAGCUCAACUCCGAAACUGCACUUGAUACUGCCUGGCUCGAGUACUGGAGAGGAGAUUGGAAUUUACGGUGUAGCAGUGAAAUGCGCAGAUAUCAGGAAGAACACCCGUGGCUAAGGCGGCUCUCUAGUACGGUACUGACGCUGAGACGCGAAAGCGUGGGGAGCGAACAGG